CUAUUUGUGCACCCCUGAGUCCAGCUCACUCAGUCACGUUCUGUUAUUUGUCCUACACUAAUCUUGCACUGUUCUGGAAACUGCUUUUCAUGAUGCCACUCCUGCUGCCUGAAUGAAUCAAUAAACCAUUUUUAACCAGAAUUACAGACCAGUGUCAGGAGGCAGGAGAUCAGCAGUCAAUUAUGUCAGGACA